GACGUAGGGCGCGAGCGUUGUCCGGAUUUAUUGGGCGUAAAGAGCUCGUAGGCGGCUUGUCGCGUCGACUGUGAAAACCCGCGGCUCAACUGCGGGCUUGCAGUCGAUACGGGCAGGCUAGAGUUCGGUAGGGGAGACUGGAAUUCCCGGUGUAGCGGUGGAAAUGACGUAGAUAUCGGGAGGAACAUCGAUGGCGAAAGCAACCGUCUGGGCCUGAACU
rnacentral:rRNA from 1 species